UUCAGGUCCUGUGAGUUACUGCCAGCCAUUCAAGUCAUGGAAUUAACACUCUUGACCAUUUCCCUAAUGAUCUUCCCUGCAUGUGUUUUAUCCCAAGUUACCAUUGCAGAGUCUGGUGGUGGUGUCAAGAGGCCAGGAGAGACUGUGCAACUGACCUGUACAGUGUCUGGAUUUUCUGUAGCGAGCAGUCUCAUGGAUUGGGCCCAUUGGGCCCCUGAGAAAGGGCUGGUAUGGAGUGGACGAAUCUGGUCCAAUGGAAAUGUGAACUAUAACAGUGGUCUCCAGGACCGUAUCACCAUCACAAGAGAUACCUCAAAAAACCAGGUGUUCCUGCAACUGCGUGGCCUAAAACUGGAAGAUUCCGCCAUGUAUUACUGUGCAAGAGACACACAGAGAGAAAAUGUCUCUCACAGGCUGUGCAAAAACUACUCUUCUGGAAAACCAGUGAUACAUGUAUUUUUGUGCACUGCAGCGAGAAAGGGAACCCUCUUUAGACAUUUCAUUUCCUGA